rnacentral:rRNA from 1 species
AGCGUAGGCGGACUUUUAGGUGAGAUGUGAAAUACCCGGGCUCAACUCGGGUGCUGCAUUUCAAACUGGAAGUCUAGAGUGCAGGAGAGGAGAAUGGAAUUCCUAGUGUAGCGGUGAAAUGCGUAGAGAUUAGGAAGAACACCAGUGGCGAAGGCGAUUCUCUGGACUAUAACUGACGCUGAGGCUCGAAAGCGUGGGAGCAAACA